rnacentral:rRNA from 1 species
UACGUAGGGGGCUAGCGUUGUCCGGAUUUAUUGGGCGUAAAGAGCGUGUAGGCGGCCAGGUAGGUCUGGUGUGAAAACUCGAGGCUUAACCUGGGGACGCCACUCGAUACUGCUGUGACUUGAGUCCGGUAGGGGAGCGUGGAAUUCCUGGUGUAGCGGUGAAAUGCGCAGAUAUCAGGAGGAACACCAGCGGCGAAGGCGGCGCUCUGGGCCGGUACUGACACUGAGGAGCGAAAGCGUGGGUAGCAAACGGG